ensembl:lncRNA
UUAAUUCUAAAUAAGUAGUAACAAUUUUAUUUUAACUCAACGUGCUGAAACACACAAUCUAUUUCCAACAAUAACACAAAUAGUGUGUAUCUCAUCAUAAAACAUCAAAUGGAUUAAAUAAAGGCCAGAAAGAUUAAAUGUUAAAGGUCUGAGUUUUAAAAGUCAACUUCCUUCUGAACUUAAAUAAUUUUAGCAGAACUUUAUUUUCAAAAAAGUGGGCUCAAUUCAUUUGUAAGCAAUGCUAAAUUACUAGUUAGAUUACAGUAUAUAAUAAGCUUUACUAACAAAAUAUUUAAAAAUAAGUAUUACUUCUCAGAUAUAAACUUACAUACAACAACAGAAGAUACAGUAUGAUUUCAUUCCUAGUAAAGAAGUCUUACAUUGGAGGCACUCAGUAUUAUUUCAGAUUGACAUAGCCAACACUUACAUCAUUCCAUGAACACUUAAGUUGGAGCUCACAUUCUCUACAUAAAAAGCUUUGUAAAAUACUCUCAUACGUGCUGAAAGUGCUGUAUUUAUUUUCUGGGAACACUGAAACCCACUCACUCAUCCACUCACCUCUCUAAAGAACACAACAAAUAUUUCCAUUGUAACCAUCAAAGACCAGACAUGACCAAAAGAGAUUACUUCACCUCUUCAUGAACAUGUGACUUGUAGUAAAACUGCUGCGUUAGAUUUUCAUAAAACUUACCCAAGUCUUUGCUUCUGUUUUCUAAAUGAAUCAUAUCUACGAUCCCAUCUUUUUGUUUGUUGGUAUUGCUAUGGAUCCAACACAUGGAUCACAAAUAUUCAUAAACACACUAUCUAUCACUGAGCCAUACUUGAGGCCCUUAUCUAUAAUUUCACAUAACAACUUAAAAUUCAUGAAUAAAGCUUUAAAUGAACAAAUUAAUAUUUCUGAAAAUUUAAACUCUCAAUUCGAUCGAGUUAAAAAAUAAAAUAAUAAUGUUCAUGACACUUUAAAAUAUUUAAAGCAACUAUUUUUAAAAUUUAAUUAUUCUUGAUAAUGUAAAAUAGCACUAUUUUCCUAUUUUAUAAUGUAGAAUGCUGGUCACAUUUUUGAGGAUUACACUGUCUUCUGGCAAUCUACUGUCUUUUUAAAUAAAGCACACGCAUAUUUAACCAAGUUCUAUUUUCAUAAAUUCACUCUUAAACAUAUUUCACACAGCUUAAGAAAAUACAAACACAUACAUAUCUCACAUAAAGAACCACAUUUCGUUCAAGGUUCUCCAAUUAUUAUUUGAAGAUAGUAACAUAGAAAAAUUUAAGGAGGUAACAUGAGCAAGCCAUCUUAUGGCACCUUUAUAUUUGUGCUCCAAAUAUCAAAACACAUUAAAAGAAAAACAAUGAAAAAGGCACAAAUACCGUAUUUCUAAAUCUUACUCUAAAGAACAGUUUUCUAAUAGAUACAUUUUUAAAUUGUAAUAUUUAAAACCAGUCAUUGUGUUCUGAGAAAAGUCUUGUUUAGGUGACUAGAAGGUAAGAGGAGCAAACUGGUAACUUAAAGCACAAAGACUGCAUUAAGCAAAAAUCAUACCCAAGUUGUAUUUAUAUAGAUAGUUUAAAAAUGAGUGAAUGAGGAAAAUGCAAACAGCCUUUUACCACACACUCAAGAACCAAAACUACUAAAAUACACAUUAAAAAAAGAGAGAGAGAAAAGAUUGUAUGAUUCUGUGAGUGUAUGUACCAUCUAAAAUGUGGGCAUUUCAGCAAACACUGGUAUUUAUAGAGCACAGUGUUGAAUUUUUUUGGUAGAAAAUAUGUUAGCAAAGUAAAACCAAAAGCCUGUAUAAGAAAAUCCUGAACAUUAUCAAUCAACAUUUACAAUGUUUAUUAUAUGGCAUUACUACUGAUUUCACCAUGGUUAGAAAUAUAGACCAAAUCAAUGAAUCAAUUUACAUACGUUGUACAUAUGUACAGUGUUUUUAUGAUAUGUGACAAUGUAUUCCACCAGCUGAGGGGAAUCUUUGCUUUUUGCCAGACCAUGAAAAUAUCUUGUAUUAAAAGUGUGUAUAUAUGUGUUUAGAAGUUUGCGCUGUUAAUGUAACAGGACUUGUUUUAUGAUGAAAUUAAGGGAAUAAAUUUUUGCUCAUCAUGAUUCUUUUAUAGGGUAAAGCCCACUGUCACUUGAAAAUUUUUCCUCUAUCCCAAAUAAUCUUACCAUUUUAACACAACAAAGAAUCAAAACUAAAAUAUCUAAAACUACAAUCUUUGUUUUCUCUUGAUAACUAAUGAUUUGACAGUAUUUUCUCAAUGUAUUUUAAGAUUGCUUUAGUUAACAGCUAAAAAGCUAUAGUUAAAAAUAGUCUAUUUUAAAACAUUAUGCUUUUUUCCUGAAUUUUAUAACUAAAUAAAAAAAGCAUGUAAAAUUUAAUACAGGGAAUAAGCUAUAUAUGCAAAAUACAGGUACAUACACCUGUUUUUCCAGUAACAUGCUCUAUCUUUAUGUAGAAAGCAUAUCAUCAGUGAUCUGACACUGACCACUCCUGCUUCUCUAGAACAAUGCAUCACAACAGAUCUCCCAACUACUAAAACAUUUUUGUGUUUAAAGCUAAACUUUAAUAACAAUAAAAAACUGGUUCACUUAAAACAGUUAACAGGAAACAUUUAUGCUGUUGACAUUAUGCAAAAUUUCAAUAAUCUGCCAUGUUAGCAACUGAGCCACCGAGGAGAAAAGAUUCCUAGUGCGGUUGCACAUACUCACUCUGCUUCCCCACACAGCGUGCACAAGCAAGUAUCUGUUAAUUCCUUUGAAAAGAAGCAGACUAUAUGGGGCUCAUUUACUGUUAGGUGCCUUCCCCAAAUGUGAUAAAGCUAAAAUAAACUCAAAUAAUAAUAAUUUGAAAUC